GAUUUUGAAACGAUUUUCACGUGAAAGAAAGAAUUUUUGGGUCGACUAGUAGCUGCGGAAGGUCACACAAUGGUCAGCAGGAAAAGGCGGGCAGCACAGAUUGAAAGUAGCCGUAAAGGCGUCGCCAGCAAACUAUGAACUUCAGAAGUGCCACUUCAUAUUUGUACUCACAUCUUCCCGAUUCAAGUUUGGGAUUCGGUGACACCACAACUGGAAGCGACUCGUUUAGAAUGAUUGACGAAUUCUACACAAGUGACCAAAUACCCGUCUGCGGAUCGUUUUGCAUAAUACUUUCAAAACGUUACUCAAAUGAGUCGGACAUAUCUGUGGCACUGUGGCACUUGUUCGACAACAUCACGGAAUUGUUCAUGCGGUUUCUUCCGCUAGUCCAUCAGGCGGAACUCAAUCCAGGGCACUCUAUAAUUUAACAUCCAAAACAAAUGGAGUUUUUGAUGCUGGGCAAGAUGAGAAUUUCGAUAAUCCCCUUAUGCAGGCUAAAGUAAAUCAAUAUUUUAUCAGCCAAUUUACAAUCCUCCGUAUCCAAUUUACUGUGCAAACCCUCUGGUCUCCGGGCAAAAUAUUAUGAUGUUGCCACCAAUGAACGUUCCAUUUUCAAAUAAUUACUGGGCGUGCUUAUCGAUUCAAGAUCACAUUCCGAUUGAUUCUUUUCGGUCACUUGAGCUCUCAAUGACCAACGACAACUACAACGGCGGUGACUUGCAAGCCAAUCCGAUGAGACUCGAAGGACUUGUUACCGGUGAUUGGUAUGGCCUUAACCCUGUGACUUAUAGCAUGAAACUGACGUAUCACUACACAAAUAAUUCAAGUGAAGCAAUACAAGUCAGAGUGUAUAGCAGAAGUGCUCCAGGGUAUUGGCUUCCAUAUUGCGAUUGAUU